rnacentral:rRNA from 1 species
GACGUAGGGCGCGAGCGUUGUCCGGAUUUAUUGGGCGUAAAGAGCUCGUAGGCGGCUCAUUGCGUCAACCGUGAAAACCAGCAGCUCAACUGUUGGCUUGCGGUUGAUACGGGUGGGCUGGAGUUCGGUAGGGGAGACUGGAAUUCCUGGUGUAGCGGUGAAAUGCGCAGAUAUCAGGAGGAACACCGGUGGCGAAGGCGGGUCUCUGGGCCGAUACUGACGCUGAGGAGCGAAAGCAUGGGGAGCGAACAGG